CUGCUGCCUCCCGUAGAAGUCUGGUCCGUGUCUCAGUACCAGUGUGGGGGACCUUCCUCUCAGAACCCCUACGCAUCGUCGGUUAGGUGGGCCGUUACCCCGCCUACUGCCUAAUGCGCCGCAUGCCCAUCCCUGUCCGGCCGAAGCCUUUUCCUGCCUCCGGGAUGCCCCGGUGGCAUGUACGCGGGUUUAGCCCGCCUUUCGGCGGGUUGUCCCCCUGACAGGGGCAGGUUGCAUACGUGUUACUCACCCGUGCGCCGGUCGCCGGCGGAGAAAG
rnacentral:rRNA from 1 species